AUACCUUUCUCGGCCUUUUGGCUAAGAUCAAGUGUAGUAUCUGUUCUUAUCAGUUUAAUAUCUGAUACGUGGGCCAUUGGCUCACAUGAUAUUAAAUUUAUUUUUUGAGGUGGAGGGUCCAUCGCAGUAGCUUGCUACUGGGACUCUCAAGCGUCGCCCAAGUGUUGCACUAUUGCUCGGGCCUGGCGCACACCAA
rfam:Gossypium arboreum cultivar AKA8401 contig_124361_1, whole genome shotgun sequence.